rnacentral:rRNA from 1 species
AUGUGCUUCAGUAUUAGUGAGUUUCAAGGCACUGAUCCCCAAGCCAAGGAGUCGAUGCCGCCAGGAGGAGGAGGCGAGCAUGGCUGCACGGAGCAGGACCAUCCAUUGGCGACCGGUCGCCGUGACGAGGGCGCUCCGUCCUAUCCUAUGCCGCCGCCUCCCCUCAUUGUUCCCGUAGCUUCUGAGAAGAAGAAGAAGAAGAAGCACGAGCAGGAGCAGGAGCAUGAGAAACACCCUGCUGGGAGCCUUCCUGAGGGCCCCCUUGUCGAGAUCCUGUCCCGGGUGCCCUACAAGUCACUGUGCCGCUUCAAGUGUGUGUCCAAGCCGUGGCUUGCCCUCUGCUCUGACCCCGACAUCCGCAAGAGGUCACCCAAGACCAUGGUAGAUUUCUUCCUCCGCAACUAUGGCAUCGGCCCCUGUUUCAUUAACUUGUCUGGAAGAGGCCAGCCCCUGGUCGACCCUUCUCUCUCUUUCUUGCGUGAGAGCUUUACACUUCUCAUCCCCCAGCAGUGCUGCGGUGGCCUUGUUCUCUGCAAAUACUGGGAAUCACGUUAUGUUGAGGAAUAUGAGUACAAUCUUGUCGUGUGCAAUCCUGCGACCAAGAAGUGGGCCGAGCUGCCUCCUAAUCCUAUACAAUUGCAAGACGAAGACGAAGAAGAAGUCGAAGAAUAUUUGUGUUUCGAUCCAGCCGUCCCCUCCCGUUUCGUGGUACUCUCACACACUUGGGAUUUCACAGAAGUGGCAAUCUACUCAUCAGACACUGGACGAUGGACUACGGUGGAGAGUGGUUGGACUGAUGAGGCUCCUGUUGGUCUUCCUGUCUUCCUGAAUGGUACUUUGCAUUUGAUGACCACUGAAUAUUCAAUAGUCACAGUAGACACAGAGGGGAAGGUUUGGGGGCAAAUUGAUAUUCCAGGCAACAUGCAAGACAGCUCUGAUCAUCCGUUCAUUGGACAGUCUCAGGGACGAUUGUAUGCUUUGUGUAUAAAUGAUAAUAUUGAUGUUUGCCAACUUUCAGUUUGGGCUCUUGAGGAUUAUGGUGGUGCAAAGUGGGCCUUGAAGGAUACUGUUAACAUUUCAGAACUGUUUGGAAGGGAUCGUUACAAAUAUGUGGAGCCCUUAGCAAUUCAUCCAGAUUGUGAUUUGAUUUUCCUUGCUGACCGGAGGGGGAAGGCUAUCUCAUAUGAUAUGGACAGCAAGAAAGUGCAUGUUAUUGGCACUUACCAAACAUUCGAUGGUGCUGUACCUUAUGUUCCAUGUUUUGCGGAAUGGCCGUCAGAUGGUCACUGA